rnacentral:rRNA from 1 species
GAACCAGCCAUGCCGCGUGAAGGAUGACGGCCCUAUGGGUUGUAAACUUCUUUUAUAGAGGAAGAAACUUGUCUACGUGUAGACAACUGACGGUACCAUACGAAUAAGGAUCGGCUAACUCCGUGCCAGCAGCCGCGGUAAUACGGAGGAUCCAAGCGUUAUCCGGAUUCAUUGGGUUUAAAGGGUCCGUAGGCGGGUCUUUAAGUCAGUGGUGAAAGCCGACAGCUCAACUGUCGAACUGCCAUUGGUACUGGAGACCUUGAGUACAAAUGAAGUAGGCGGAAUGAGUCAUGUAGCGGUGAAAUGCAUAGAUAUGACUCAGAACACCGAUUGCGAAGGCAGCUUACUAACAUGUAACUGACGCUGAGGGACGAAAGCGUGGGGAGCGAACAGGAUUAGAUACCCUGGUAGUCCACGCCGUAAACGAUCAUCACUCGCUGUUGGCGAUAUACUGUCAGCGGCCAAGCGAAAGUA